rnacentral:tRNA from 1 species
GCCUUUGUGGUGGAAUUCGGUAGACACAACAGACUUAAAAUCUGUUGAAGAUUGAAUCUUCGUGCGGGUUCGAUUCCCGCCAAAGGCACCA